GCCUGGGCUCACCCAUAACUAGGUGGCAGAACUAGGAAAUAAACACAGGACUUCUGAAUCCAGCCUUCGGUUUUAACUGUGCACUAGACAGGGUUUGAAAUUACUUCAAAAUGAAAGGUAAAGGAAGGACCAUUGGCACAGAGUGAAGACUUACAGCAUGACAGGGGCUGAUCUUAAAGCUGGUGACCAGGCUGCGAAUGACACAGACCUUCCUGUACUCAAGGAACUUUCACAUGAGAGGGAGAGACAGGAGUGAAUCACACGUAUGUUGUUGCCAACUGCCUCGCCUGGGAAGGGAAAGCACAGCGUGUGAAGAGAGCACGUUCCAGGGAAAUGGUCUGGUUUGGCAGCCAGGGCUCCCACUGCAGAAAACAACC